GACGCUAAAAGCUCGAAGGUGCGGGUAUCGAACAGGAUUAGAUACCCUGGUAGUCCGCACGGUAAACGAUGGAUGCCCGCUGUAUGCGAUAUAAUGUAUGCGGCCAAGCGAAAGCGUUAAGCAUCCCACCUGGGGAGUACGCCGGCAACGGUGAAACUCAAAGGAAUUGACGGGGGCCCGCACAAGCGGAGGAACAUGUGGUUUAAUUCGAUGAUACGCGAGGAACCUUACCCGGGCUUGAACUGCAGGAGAAGGAUACAGAGAUGUUGACGCCCUUCGGGGCUCCUGUGGAGGUGCUGCAUGGUUGUCGUCAGCUCAUGCCGUGAGGUGUCGGCUUAAGUGCCAUAACGAGCGCAACCCUUGCUGUCAGUUGCCAUCAGGUAAUGCUGGGCACUCUGGCGGUACUGCCACCGUAAGGUGUGAGGAAGGUGGGGAUGACGUCAAAUCAGCACGGCCUUUACGUCCGGGGCUACACACGUGUUACAAUGGGGAGGACAGAAAGCUGCGAGGCUGCGAGGCCGAGCGAAUCUCGAAACCUUCUCCCAGUUCGGAUCGGAGUCUGCAACCCGACUCCGUGAAGCUGGAUUCGCUAGUAAUCGC
rnacentral:rRNA from 1 species